rnacentral:antisense_RNA from 1 species
AAAAUAGGCUGCAAUCAAGUUCACUUCCAAAGGCGGAAUUCAUGGGUACAUAUGGUGUCCACGUGUGUAUACCUGCAGAGUUGUAACAUGCGGGCAUUUCUCCCCCCACCCCGCCAUUCUGGCUUCUUAACUUGCACCCUAACAGCUCGACAGAACCUUGGCGUCCACAAAAAGGAUUUGAGGUGGGACAUGGAAGAACAGGGACCCCACCUGGUUUGUCCACCCGGCCCACACCUGCAUUCCUCACCCAACCUACCACUUCAGAGCCGGGAAAAGACCUCAGAGAACAUCCGCUCCGACUCCACCGAGGCUCAGACAGGACAAGAAGAGUGUGCUGGACACUGGGAAAUGUGGUCCAGGAGCAGUCACAGUCCCUACAGACCUCCCACAAAUUACCAUAAUGCAAAGCAGUGAACACUUGGGAGAGCUCCUUCACUCACCGACUCUCAUCAGGAAAAUAGUAAUAGCAUGAACCCCUCCAGAUGGUUUUAGGAUUAAAAGAGAUACUUGUGCAAAGCCUCAGCAUACAAGUGCUCAGCCCCUGCCGACAUGAGCAAUGGGCAGCGCGUCCAGCUGGGUUCCUGCCCCACGAGAAGCACACAGCCUGGUUUGGUAGGUGGGGCUCCAUCAGGGCUGUUUGGAUACCUGGGUGGAGCCCGCAGACCAUCCCCCACCUUGUGUGGUUAGGGCUUUGCUAGGAAGGCCCAACUGUGCGCCAUGACCUUGGAACUCGAUGUGAGAUCCCUGGACCGGCAGCAGCACCUGGAAGCUUGUUGGAAAUGCUGAUCUCAGGUGGGACUCCAGAAUUCCCGCAUCUGCACCUGCACUCCCAAAAUACCUCCCCACCAGGUGAUCCGAGGCCAUGGGGCGGUCUGAAGGGCACUGUGCUGGGGCGUCCCACCACUAGAGAUCCAGUCCGGUAAUCUGAAGAUGUAAGUGCCCCCAGGAGGAGUGACGGAGUGACACAAAUGACACAAGGGGAGGGGACUUGUCAGGUGUCCACUCCUGACUACAAGUUCCCAGGGCAGAAGGCAAUGCCCCCACAGGGACUUUUCUAGACACUCCGAGUGCACCUGAAUUGCAUUUUGAGUGAUGCUACCUGCUAAGCAGGAAGAGCCCUCCGGAGCCUCGGAAAGCAGAGUGGAAGUGGUGGUGCCCAGGACGCAUGGGCUCUGAUGGGAAGGGGGAGGUGGGCCUGAGCAUGGGCCUUCUUCUCCCCAGGUCAGAGGGGCCUGGAUGCCCCUGGAGGGAACACUGAGGUCACCUCUGGCCAAAUCUUCCUGUUCUGCCAGUACCCAGCCCUGUUCAGUGACAUCAAGCUUUUGGGUCCCUGUCCUGGGGCCCUCCACGCUGGCCGGGCUGUGUAGAGACGCCCUUCUCUCUACUUUAUUGGGUCCAGAUUGUUGUGUGGCUUCUCCCCUCCUCUGCAGCCUGGGGUCUGAAAACAGCGACGCCAACAGACAGACAGAUUUCCAAAAGAAAGGUCCGGCUCAGCCAAGGACAAAGGGGCCUUGCAGAGGCUCCUGGGGGUCAGAAAGCUGAGAGUCUACCGGGCAGGUGCCUUCUGCACCCACAGGCACAAGCUACAACAGCUUUCCAAGAAGCGCAUCCACAUCAUCCCCAGGUCCAGAUGCCCACAUCGCCCUGCAGGGACCGAGACCACACUCGGGCUGCUUGGACAGGAUGUAGCGGGUCACUGUUCUGGAGCUGGCCCCUCUGUAGCCUGUGACAAUCAGCUUGAGUCUCUGCCAAGUCUCCGCCUUCUGUUCUUCUUGCCCACCUUGAAGCAGAGUUGACUUUUUGGGUUUUUCCAGCAGACAAAGCUCACUCAAUCUGACACUGUGGAGGUUGUUAAUUUAACAACCAACCCAUCCUCAUGUUGAGAAACCAGCUCCAAAUGCUCACCGGGCUGUCAGGGAUGGGGAGCCUCAUGGGUGAAAGAAGGUUGUGAUGGCAUAAUUUAAACCAAAAGAGGCAUUUGCGGUUGCCCGUGUUGCCCCAGGCCUGCUGGCCUCCUGCUGUGAACGUUUUGGGCAAUACCAUCUCUGCCAGUGACCCCCAAUUGUCCACUUGUCUCCAGCAAGAUCGAACCAUGUAAGUGCCAUUUCUGACAACUUGGGUGAACGUUGGUUUCAAAUCAUCAACUCUGCAUUCAAGUGCCCUGCUACAAUUCUGGCUCACUCUGCGGGAAUAACUGCCUGCCUGGGCACGUUGCCGUUGCUGCCUCCCAAACGGCAGUUUCUGGGGUCCCAGGUCAUCCAGGUUGGAUGUGGCUUGGGAGAGACCUGUAGCACCAGGUUGGAGGGAGGUCUCACCUCUCCUUUCUGAGCUGUGGACUGCAGCUUCAGGACCCUAUGGAUGAGGCCGAAUGUCAUGAAGAUAAUGGAAUUUGGAGUCUCAGCAAAGCCAAGCCACAUGCCAGAGAUUCACCACCUGGGGCCCAGGAUCAGAAGUGUGCCCUUAGGAGGCCAAACAUCCACCUGUCUACCAACUAGACAUUUGGUCUCAGACAGCAAGAAAGGCUGCGUUUAUGUCAUUAGGGGGAACACCACGGUCUUCGGCAUGAGAGAGGUGUAAUUCUCAAGUUCCUCAGAGCUUGGCUUCCCCCAUGAGAGGAAACAAUUUGCCAGGUUGAAGAACACACGCUUUGAGGGUUCUCAGAGGCUGACACCUGUUGUGAAUCUUGGAAACUCAAGCCCCAGUGCAAACGGCCUUGAAGGAGGUCGAGCAUCAUGGUUCCAACAAGUGACUCACUUUGAUAACCCGAUGUGUAAGCAGAAUCGCAAUGCAUCCGUCCUUCCCUAAUCAUCACGUGGCUGUCAUCUGGUCAAUGAACUGAGGCCCGAAGGCUUGAGUCAAACUGGUUUUCAAGGCUGUGCUCAUGGGAUUUAUAUGUUUCUUGAGCCCUGUUGGAGGCUCUUGGCAGGUCUGAACAUUAAACAUUUCUUUUCUUCCUUUUGCACACUGCUUCAACCUAAAGAGUUGGAGCGAAUUAGCUCUAUGUCAUUUCUGUGUUGUAAAUGGGAAAUUAGCUACCCCAUAACUUCCCAUUGUCUCCUGAGAGGUUACAAAUUGUGUUACAGAUAUUAGCAAGUGUUAAUCCUCACGAUGUCCCUGGGAGGGAACCAGAAGCAUCGUAGAUGAAGACAUCGAGGCACAGAGAGGUGAGGUCACUGGGAAGAAGCCACACAGCAUAACAGUGGCAGGUCAAGAAAAGGGCUGGGGUUCUCCCCACCAAUACCAAAUGAUUUUGCUCUGUGGAGUUUGUGUCUCGGUUAGGACAUUGGUGAGCUAUGUCACCUAUGUUUCAGGUGACAGGGACAUCACAACAAAGGUUUGUUGGGUUAACAAUGUCAAGCAUUUCCCUGCCUCAGACCCCAAACUCAUUGCCACACUCCAUACCACUGUCACGGAGUGCAGAUAGUGGGGUUUGGAAUCUCAGUAAAGCCAAACCACAGGCCAGAGAUUCACCAUAUGGGGCCAUCGGUCAUCCCCGAUCCUGUUGUCCCAAUAGCUUUCAUUCCGGUGAUAGGAUAUCUGCAUCUCCUAGAAAUGUGGCUGCUAAGCCCCACUCCUGCACGGAUCAUUCACCGGCUCCCCACUCAGCGUAGCCACUCCUGGGUGGAUCGGCAAACAGCUCUUCAAUACGUCCACCCCCAUGUGUCACAGAGCUUUUCAGGUGGAAGGAUUUUGCAUUCUCCCAAGAGAGAUUCAGUGAGCCAAGUCAGGACCCAGGUUCUCAGUCAAGGGUAAGAUGCUGCAGCCGAGAGUCCCCCAACCCCCGUCCUGUCCGACGUCUCGGCAAGAGGCAGCACUUCCUGCACCCGGCUCUGCCAGUGCACUGGGCGCUGGGGUGUGGGGUUGGGGUCCCCCCUGCUCCCGCCGGAAGGGUGUUUUAGGGAACUGUGGGCCUCUUCCCACCUUGGCAGCUCCGUUUAAGGCUCCAGGGACUGCUCGGCUGCUCCACAGUGACGGUCACUCUGAGGUGGAGCCUGUGUAUCCUGGAUGGAGGCAGAGCCGGACACCGUGACAGGUCCUCUGGGCCCAUCUCCAGCUGAACAGGAAAGUCCAUGGCCACCCAAGACAGGUGGGCUGGUGUCUUCUCUCUCCUGGGCGCUGUGGAGCUGAAACCACAGAUUCCGUCGGGAUUUUGCCCAGGAGCAAGGGACAUCCUCAGCCUGCGGCCGCUAUGUACAGUGAGAACGACACCUGGGGCCAUCUGGCUUCUCUUCCUUCCUGGGUCUCUCACAUUGCGUCUGGUGGAGCCACCAGUUCCUUACACGUUGGUGACCUCCAGGCUGUUGUAGCCUUCCAGACGGCACUGUUCCAGCCUGCUCUGGGGGUCAUCGUCUCCGCAAUCUUCGUUUUGAAGAGAGCCAUAGUCAUCAUGGAAAUCGGGAUCUUUGCUGCUGAAGCCCCUUCCUAUCUUCCCCAGGGGCAGCUGAGAAGAGAAGAAUAUGAUCAAAGGACAGGAAGAAGAGAAACAAGAAUUAAGAAUGAAGGUCUGGGAAAUGUCUCCAAUUCUAAUUGCUCUGUGAUUGAGUAACUUACUUAACCUCUGUGUGCUCCUCCUAUUAGUAAUAAUACUCCCUGCUCAGGGAGGUUGAGGGGAGUUUGUGAAUGACCAUUAGGGGAGAGCUUUGUGUCCCCCCGCCCCCGGAAGGAUUCAGUUGGUUACCAAGGGUGAGGACAAAUAUCGUUAGUCUGAUUAUUCCUGAUUCACAAAAGCCUCCUUCUUCCCUCCUUGGUGGGUGGAGAGUUGAGGAAGUGUGUCCUGGAGACUACCUGUGAGAAUGUCUGAGCAGGACCAUGAGGUCUGACUGCACUCCCAAGUCAAGGAGGAAUAUUCUAGACGGCCUGGUGUGGCAGAAAGAAUGCGAGUUUUGGAGACUCACAGACCCAGGUUCAGAUCCCUGCUCUGCCACUUCCCAGCUGUGUGACCUUGGACAAGUCACUUCCCCUCUCUGAGCCCAUUUUCUCAGCUACAAAAUGGGAAUAGUAGUUUCUAACUCCCAGGUUUGUUGUAAAAAGUAAAGUCCCACCAGUCUGGCCAACAUGGUGAAACCCCGCCUCUCCUAAAAAUACAAAAAUUAGCCGGGCGUGGUGGCAAGCUCCUGUAGUCCCUGCUACUCAGGAGGCCGAGGCAUGAGAAUCACUUGAACCCAGGAAGCAGAGGUUGCAGUGAGCUGAGAUCGUGCAACUGCACUCCAGCCUGACAGAGUGAGACCCUGUCUCAAAAAAAAAAAAAGUCAAGUCCCAUCUGCAAAGCACAUAGCAAGUGCUUGCACCGAGUAAGUCCUUGAUGUACUUGACGAAUAGUGACUAUUAUUAUCACACAUAGUAGGCCUUCAAAAAUACUUCUCUCUUAUUGCACACAUCUCUGUGUUAAAGUAGUCACAUUAGUGCUUUGUAACUAUUUAUUUGACUGCCUUUCUUUCUAGACCAGUGUUUCCAGAUCUUCUUUUUUUAUUACUAUUACUGCUCCCUAAGGAGACUUUUUAGACAGUUUUUUCCUAAUUGCACCCCUGCUGUGAAAUUGUAAUGCCACAGACAUACUACGCCUCUGCUUCCGUACCAUAUGUACAUUUGUGCUUUUACAUAGAAAGAAUAAGAAUUUUUGCCACCGCCCCCACCCCCCACCAGCGCCAAAACAAAUUUUCACUCCUUUGGGGGGCAAUAUCAGCCCCAAUUACUAGAAUGCAUGUUCUAGAAUGGAGCUUCUUAAGGGUAAAGUGGCAAUGUAUUCAUCUUUAUGAAUGAAUGGGGAUCGUGCCUUCUUCAAAUGGAAGACAUUUUGGAUUACCCAGUUCUGCCAUCUGUGCAUUUCCAUUGAGGAAUCUGUGUCAGUUGGAGUCUGUGCAAUCAGUCCUGAACUGCACAUGUUUUCAUACUGUUUGGUUGGAGUCACCAGAGGUUCAUCUUUGCUAUUGGUCAGGUCACUGAAGUCGCAAAUUGAAAUCAGUGAUUGGGGCUCAGAGUUUGGGGCUGCGCUGGAACCCUCUGGGCAGCCUAGCUGAAUGCAGGAUCCCCCACACCCCAGAGAACUCCUUUCCAGGAGACCAAGGUGGGUCCCAGAAUCUGCACGUUCAGUAAUAGCCCCAGGUGAUUCUGAUGCAGGCAGGUGAGACCUGCACUUUGAGAUCCAGGUGCUACUCGAAGCCCUGCGGGGGCUUUGUGCACUGUACCCAAAGCAUCGUGAAGUUUCCUUGAAGGUACAUCCAGGGCAUCUGUCCUGGAUGGCCCCGUGACCCGGCCACCUUCACAGGCCAGCACAGGAGCCACAGAGCUCCCGGGAGGAGAAAAAAAGACCUUUCCCGGGUCUGCAGGACUCACAGGCAAAUCCAUUGAGAGACUUACCCGGCCAGCCUUGUACUUGAGACCGCUGCUGUUCUCCUCCUUUCCUGCCCGCGUGACGCUGGAGGCCCUGCCAGGGGGUGUUCCAAAACGCUCAGCCUCCCGGAUGCCUGUGGAGCUGAAGAGAGGACCAUUUUGAGUCAGCAGGGGAGGCUCAGUCAGCUCCCCAGACACACACACACACACACACACACACACACACACACACAUUGGUGACAAUGACCACAGCUGCUGAGACCGACUGAUUACCUCCCACAUGCCAUCCUUGUGCUCAGCACUUUAUAAGCGUGAUUCUCACAACAUGCCUGGGGCUUGGGACUGCCAGCCCAGCAUUACAGGGAAAGGAGGCCGGAGACAGCAAGCAAUUUGCCCAAGACGACACAGCUGUAAGCGGCAGAAUCAAGAUCUGAACUCAGGCUUCUGACACUCCAAAGUCUUGAUCUUAACUCUUCAGUGUACUGUGAACCUUACUGCAACAGACUCGAGAUAAGAAUCUCAGCAUGGUAGCUAAUUAGUUGUGCUUAGAGAAGCAUGAGGAGUCUCCCCUGCUCUGAAUUUGCAAUCUGUGUCCCCGACCUGGCUUUCUGCCUGAAGCUGCCCCCAUGACUCCCUUCUUUGUGCAAAAGCAUGGAAGCUUCUGUUAGGAUUUGGCCAACUACGGCCUGCCUGCAGGUCAAAUCCAGAUGGCCGACUGAUUUUAUAAAUAAAGUUUUAUUGGAACUCA